AAAACCUUAAAACCCAUCUUCCCCCCAUUUCUUCCUUCACUCUCUUCACCUCCCCUCCAUUCUCUCUCCCAUUCCUUCCUCUUCACCUCCCCGCCACACUCGCCGCCUCCUCAUUUCCCUCCCAACCCACCAAACCCACCUGCCCAAUUUGGGACAUCGAAAAAGGGGGUCGUCGAGUCGCCGAGCUGGAUAUGCGCCACCAAGCCGCCUCCUGCCUGUCGUUGCUGCCUGAAAUCGGACCCGCAUCCUGCUGCAAUUCCUUCUGCACCAACCCACUCCAAUACCUACAUGCUGCACCAGAUCACGGAAACUUGCCGUUCGUUGUUCUUGUUCGCAUAUUGUCGGAGAUCGAUGAAAUUCUUGGUACCAAGAAUUCGAUGUCCCAAAUUGGAAGCAGAAUAUACUCCUUUCUUGGCUCUCUAAACUUUGCUUGUCAAAGCCAUGUUUAGCUUUUGUUUUAGCUUCAACUCCAAUAACUCUGGUUGCAGCUUUGUAGUUGCAAGUAGCCAGGCAUGUUUGGAUGCACAAUAACGUGCUCAAAUCAACAGAUUAAAACGACUUGAUUAAUCUGUUUUUCUUAAGUUUUUUUACACCCAAACAAACAGCACUUAUCGGAGUUUGGUGUAUUUUUGUUUGAACUUCUUCGAUUGUACAAAUUGCUUUGACUGCUUCAGCUCCUCUUGUUCCCGUCAGUUGUAAUUGUGUGUUUCGAUCUCUUAAUUAAUCCCCCAUUCUUAAUUAGCUACUCAAAUUUGUUUUUAAAAUUCUUGGGGCUUGAACAAAUGGAUUCUGUAUUCUGUUGUUUGGUUGCUGAGAAAAUGUUGAGAGAGAAGGGGAAGAAAAGUAGAGCAAGAUUCACUGAAAACUUCUGAAGUGUUGUGUGAUUUGGUAAUCUGAUAAGAACCCAGAUCGUGGUUUUGGAUUAUUUCUUGUAUUUUUCCAGCACUUUCUCGGAUUCCAAACAAAGUGGCAUAAAUUUGUGAAUUUGGGGAAGGCUUUUGACAUUUCUGGGAAUUUUUGCAGGUGGUGCAAAGCAAUUGAGUAAAUCAGUGCUUCUCUGUUCUUCAAGACGAUAUACGAGUAUGAGUAGUUCUCGACGACCCCCUUUUUCGAUGUCCCAAAUUGGGCAGGUGGGUUUGGUGGGGUGGGAGGGAAAGGAGGAGGCCGCGGGUGUGGUGGGGAGGUGAAGAGGAAGGAGUGGGAGAGAGAAGGGAGGGGAGGUGAAGAGAGUGGAGGAGAAGUGAGUCGGGAAGAUGGGUUUAGGGUUUUUUUUAUAUAUAUUUUGUAAUUAAUUUUUUUUUUAAAUUCAUAAAAAAUUAUUAUUAUUACCACGUGGCACAAAUGUGGUAGUUACGUGGUAUAAAUGUGGCAGCCACGUCAGCUCUUAACGAAACAAUGGGUAGAAAAUCUAACGAAUGUAUUAUUUUGAAAUAAAAUAAUACGUGAGGUAUGAAAGUGAAAUAUUUUAAUGAUGUUGUAUGGGGUUGUAAUAGACCUCAAGCGAUACUAUGUAAUUUACCCAAAUAAUUAUUUUGGAAUUUAUAGAUUCUCAUUAACUUACAAUUUGAUUUUAUAUUUUUAUAACAAAAUUACAUUUCGAGAGUAAUUGCUAAUUACAUGUUUUUGAGUUGAAAGGUGAGUCAUUACAUCAAUCAUAUGUGUGAAGAACGUUGCCAACCACUUAAAGUUUGUCUUCUUUUCUAUUUAUUCAAUAAUGUAUA
rnacentral:lncRNA from 1 species